rnacentral:rRNA from 1 species
CCCUUAGAUGUUCUGGGCCGCACGCGCGCUACAAUGAUGAAUUCAACGAGUUUAUAACCUUGGUUGAAAAGCCUGGGUAAUCUUUUGAACUUUCGUCGUGAUGGGGCUAGACCCUUGCAAUUAUUGGUCUCCAACGAGGAAUUCCUAGUAAACGCAAGUCAUCAGCUUGCAUUGAUUACGUCCCUGCCCUUUGUACACACCGCCCGUCGCACCUACCGAUUGAAUGGUCCGGUGAAUAAUUCGGACUGCAGCACUGCUUGGUCUCCAGGCUUUGCAGCGGAAAGUUUAGUGAACCUUAUCACUUAGAGGAAGGAGAAGUCGUAACA